GGGUGGUCCGAUGAUAGUGGGUUAUCAGAACUUAUUAAUAUUAGUGUCACUAAAAUUAGUAUACCAUCCCUCACUGCUAAAAUUGACAGGCUUAAU
ensembl:misc_RNA Y_RNA Y RNA